rnacentral:rRNA from 1 species
UAAGGAAUAUUGGGCAAUGGACGCAAGUCUGACCCAGCCAUGCCGCGUGAAGGAUGAAGGUCCUCUGGAUUGUAAACUUCUUUUAUCUGGGGCGAAAAAAGGCCAUUCUUGGCAGCUUGACGGUACCAGAUGAAUAAGCACCGGCUAACUCCGUGCCAGCAGCCGCGGUAAUACGGAGGGUGCAAGCGUUAUCCGGAUUCACUGGGUUUAAAGGGUGCGUAGGUGGGCAGGUAAGUCAGUGGUGAAAUCCUCGGGCUCAACCCGGGAACUGCCGUUGAUACUAUCUGUCUUGAAUGCCAUGGAGGUAAGUGGAAUAUGUCAUGUAGCGGUGAAAUGCUUAGAGAUGACAUAGAACACCAAUUGCGAAGGCAGCUUGCUACAUGGAGAUUGACACUGAGGC